UAACGAGGAACGAUCGAGGGCAAGUCUGGUGCCAGCAGCCGCGGUAAGUUCCAGCUCCAAUAGCGUACGUUAAAGUUGCUGCAGUUAAAAAGCUCGUAGUUGAACGUUCGGGUUCCGCGGGACGGGGCCGCCCCGCGAGGGACGGCGCCGCCCCCGGGGCUCGUGAUAUCUUAUCUCGCCGCCCGUCGCGAGGCGGACGGAGGGAUGGAUGAGGUUACCUGGAAAAAAUCGGGGCGAUCUAGGCGGGCGAACCUCGCCAACGAACGAUCGGACAUGGGAUAACGGAAGAGGGCGUCGGCUCGACUUCGUCGGUUCCUCGGGCCGAGGCACGUACGGUGAAUAGGGACGGUCGGGGCCGCCCGUACCGGGUCGUGAGAGGUGAAAUUCUAGGAUCGACCCGAGACGAACUGCCGCGAAAGCAUUCGGCAAGGACGCUUUCAUUAAUCAAGAACGAAAGUCGGGGGAUCGAAGACGAUCAGAUACCGUCGUAGUCCCGACCGUAAACGAUGCCGACCGAGGGCCCGGAGGAGUUACGUACGACCCUCCGGGCCCUCCCGCGAGAAAUCAGGAGUAUUCGGGUUCCGGGGGG
rnacentral:rRNA from 1 species